CGAAAAGGUGUUCACUUCAUGUGAAUAGUUAGAAGUAAACCAAGGUUCGGGUUAUUCUCUCUACAAACAUGUUUAAAAAUAUUGUUGUGUUGUUUAUGGUCGUGAUGCUGGCUGGAUACAGCCACCAGGAAUCCAGUACAGCUGGCGCCAGCACUGGCGGAAAUGUAGGCGGCAGUGGAGGUGUCGGCGGAAGUUUCGGAGUCGGUUUGACCGCUGGGGCUCAAGGCAGCGCCGGUGCCUCUGCUGGCGGCCAGGCCGGAGCACAAACGAGCGCAGGCAACGGAAAGUAACCUCACUUCACUAACAUUUGAAGAAUUGUUUUCUUUUUCUCGUAUCUCUUGUAUCUUUCAAGCAUCGGCCCCAUAACUUGAUACUAAUAACGUUAACUAUAUAACAAAACAAUAAAUUAUACUAACGAA